rnacentral:rRNA from 1 species
AAUCAACGCUGGCGGCGUGCCUAACACAUGCAAGUCGAACGCGAAAGCCCGCAAGGGUAAGUAGAGUGGCGCACGGGUGAGUAACACGUGGACAACCUGCCUUCGAGUGGGGAAUAACCUUCCGAAAGGAGGGCUAAUACCGCAUAACACCUCGGGACACAAGUUCUGGGGUUGAAAAGAGCAAUUUGCUCGAAGAGGGGUCCGCGCCUGAUUAGCUAGUUGGUGAGGUAACGGCUCACCAAGGCUUCGAUCAGUAGCCGUCCUGAGAGGGAGCACGGCCACACUGGAACUGAGACACGGUCCAGACUCCUACGGGAGGCAGCAGUGGGGAAUUUUUGGUCAAUGGGCGAAAGCCUGACCAAGCAACGCCGCGUGGGUGAUG